GUGUCAGCCGCCGCGGUAAUACAGAGGGUGCGAGCGUUAAUCGGAGUUACUGGGUGUAAAGGGCGCGUAGGCGGUGAUAUGUGUGUGAUGUGAAAGCCCCGGGCUUAACCUGGGAAGUGCAUCGCAAACUGUAUGACUGGAGUAUAUGAGAGGGUGGCGGAAUUUCCGGUGUAGCGGUGAAAUGCGUAGAGAUCGGAAGGAACGUCGAUGGCGAAGGCAGCCACCUGGCAUAAUACUGACGCUGAGGCGCGAAAGCGUGGGGAGCGAACAGGAUUAGAAACCCCUGUAGUCC
rnacentral:rRNA from 1 species